rnacentral:lncRNA from 1 species
AGAGCAUGCCGGGAAAGGCACCUCUCCCGAUCUCCUGGCGCUCACCUCCCGGGCGUUCCUUUCGUGUCCCCUUGAAAGCCCGGUCCUUGGGCUUGGAAUGAGACGGUUUGGGCUCAUGCCUGCUUUGGUCAGUAGAAUACAGCUGAAGUGAUGUUGUACCAGUUUUGCGUCUGGUCUUUACAAGCACUGGUAGCUUCAACUUUCUCCUUCUUGGUACUCACCCACCAUGUUGUAAGGAAACCCAAACAGCCACGUGGAAGACAGUUCUAGUUGAGCUCCCAGCCCAGAGCCUAUCCCAACUCUCCAGCCAUACCCUGACUUCCUUCAGCAAAGAGACAGCUUCUGAUUCAUGUUCGUCUCACCAUAAUCCAUUUCCCUCUCUGCAGAUACUUCCAAAAGUUACACUAGAUGUUAACUGAGCACUAAGGACACUACGUGAAAGACUGGAGUACAAACAUCCAAAGGACUGAAGAAUUUGAAGAGCACUGAAUGUGGGAGAUAGGACAGAGGAAAGGAGUCAAAUGUCUCCAAGAAACGAAGCCUGUGUGCCCUGGAGAAUGAAGAAGCAUCAUCAAAUCGGGGAGACUGAAGGAGGAAUCGGUUUUCAGAGAAAAACAAUUUAUAUUGUCUUAGCUGUGUUAGGUGGCAUACUAUUACAUUCAAGUGAAGCUGUGUAAUAGACAGAGAUGACAAAUUUUAUUCAUUUAUGAAUGCCCCCCAAAAUAUAUAUAUAGUUUUUGCCCUCAUGUCUCUUAUUGGGAUGACAGACAUAAAUCAAAGAAUUCCAUAAAUAAAUAUUAAAAUACAAUUUGUGAUAAAUGCUACAAA